rnacentral:rRNA from 1 species
AUUGAACGCUGGCGGCAGGCCUAACACAUGCAAGUCGAACGGUAACAGGAAGCAGCUUGCUGCUUUGCUGACGAGUGGCGGACGUGUGAGUAAUGUCUGGGAAACUGCCCGAUGGAGGGGGAUAACUACUGGAAACGGUAGCUAAUACCGCAUAACGUCGCAAGACCAAAGAGGGGGACCUUAUGGCCUCUUGCCAUCGGAUGUGCCCAGAUGGGAUUAGCUAGUAGGUGGGGUAACGGCUCACCUAGGCGACGAUCCCUAGCUGGUCUGAGAGGAUGACCAGCCACACUGGAACUGAGACACGGUCCAGACUCCUACGGGAGGCAGCAGUGGGGAAUAUUGCACAAUGGGCGCAAGCCUGAUGCAGCCAUGCCGCGUGUAUGAAGAAGGCCUUCGGGUUGUAAAGUACUUUCAGCGGGGAGGAAGGGAGUAAAGUUAAUACCUUUGCUCAUUGACGUUACCCGCAGAAGAAGCACCGGCUAACCCCGUG